CGCAAGCACAUCAGCUAGUGCUCCCAACGAAAGUUGAUAGCGAUGUGUACACCUUGGAGUUAAAUAGCUAGUAUCUUUCUACUCGGAUUCCCCUCUGCCGUCAUAGAGGGGUUUC
rfam:Blackcurrant reversion virus clone 5 coat protein mRNA, partial cds.